CGUCUAAUUUUUUUUUAUUAAAUUAGAAGUGGUGUACANGUGAGUAUAUGAUAUUUUAACUGCCUUAGAGUGAGGAUCUAAAUUCCUUAUAUUGAAAGAAAGUAGUAAUAAUACUUUUGCUUUAAGAUGUUAAUGGAUAUCUCGGGUAAGUAGUAGUUAAGGUAAUAGCUUAACUAGCUUAAAAGCCCGUAGUCGAGACUGAGAGGUCGAUCGAUCACAUUGGGUCUGAAAAAACCCCAAUACGUAUAGUACAGCAGUGAGGAAUAUUGGUCAAUAGCCUAACGGCUGAACCAGCAAUUUGGGGGAAUGUAUAGUAUAUGCUAAUUGUAUAUUAAAUACAAUAUCGACUAUGUCGAAUAAAGUUCUAGAUAGAAUACUGAUAAUGACAAUUUUCUAUCUAUAUGUCUUGACCAAAUCACGUGCCAGCAGUCGCGGUAAUACGUGGAAGACUAGUGUUAUUCAUCUUUAAUAGGUUUAAAGGGUACCUAGACUGUAUUUCUAGCCCAAAUAGGGUACGGAUUUACUAGAGUUUAAUGUAAGAAGAAAAAAUCGUGGUUGUAGUUCCCAUCCUCAGGGGGCUAGGCCCUUUGUAGUACUUGAAGUGUAGAGAUAAAAUUUUGUAAUACUUUAAGGAAACUGGUUAUGCGAAAGCAACCUUCUAUGUACAAACUGACGUUGAGGGACGAAGGCUUGGGUCGCGAAUAGGAUUAGAUACCCUAGUAGUCCAAGCAGAAAAUUAUGAAUGUCAUAGAUCAGAUUUAUUUUGGUUUAUAAAUGAAAGUGUAAGCAUUCCACCUCAAGAGUAAUGCGGCAACGCAGGAACUGAAAUCAUUAGACCGUUUCUGAAACCAGUAGUGAAGUAUGUUAUUUAAUUCGAUAAUCCGCGAAAAACCUUACCACAAUUUGAAUACUUAAAAAGUACAAGCGCUGCACGGCUGUCUUCAGUUAAUGUCGUGAGAUUUUGGUUAGUUCCAUUAAAUUAACGUAAACCCUUGCUUUAUUUAAUAUAUAUAUAUAUAAAGUAGUUCACCACUAUAUUGGAUAUGAUAAAAGGGA
rnacentral:rRNA from 1 species